AACGCCGCGUGAACGAUGAAGGCCUUCGGGUCGUAAAGUUCUGUUGUUAGGGAAGAACAAGUGCCGUUUGAAUAAGGCGGCACCUUGACGGUACCUAACCAGAAAGCCACGGCUAACUACGUGCCAGCCACUUCGGUGACUGAGCGGGCUGGCAAGGCGCAUA
rnacentral:rRNA from 1 species